rnacentral:lncRNA from 1 species
GGAUUCCCUUAUUGUUAACACCAACACUAAUCCAUGCAUGGGGCAUGCCUGUUUGUGUCAAAAAACAAGAAGAAGUCCUUUGACUUUGUAGUAGUGGAAGCCAACCCUAGAAGACAUAGUGUGCUUUUACCAUUUAAAGAGUGCUGAAAUUUUCCAACUACAAGGGUGUGUUUGCUAAGGAUUGGAGAGCAUGAUGUCUCAGGAGCAUUAUAUGGAAGAUCCAAGGGAGCAGACCCAACCAGACCAAUUACCCCUAUAUAUAUGUAUGUAUGUAUGUACAUAUAUAAAUACAUAUAUAAU